UACGUAGGCAGCGAGCGUUGUUCGGAAUUACUGGGCGUAAAGAGUGUGUAGGCGGUGUUCCCAGUCUGUUGUGAAAUCUCCCGGCUUAACUGGGAGGUGCAGCGGAAACUAGAAUGCUAGAGGGUGGGAGAGGUAAGCGGAAUUCCGUGGUGUAGCGGUGAAAUGCGUAGAUAUCAGGAGGAACACCUGUGGUGUAGACAGCUUACUGGACCACUUCUGACGCUGAGACACGAAAGCGUGGGUAGCAAACAGG
rnacentral:rRNA from 1 species